UACGGGAGGCAGCAGUGGGGAAUCUUGCACAAUGGGCGAAAGCCUGAUGCAGCAACGCCGCGUGCGGGAAGAAGGCCUUAGGGUUGUAAACCGCUUUCAGCAGGGAAGAAAAUGACGGUACCUGCAGAAGAAGGUGCGGCCAACUACGUGCCAGCAGCCGCGGUGACACGUAGGCACCAAGCGUUGUCCGGAUUUAUUGGGCGUAAAGAGCUCGUAGGCGGUUCAGUAAGUCGGGUGUGAAAACUCUGGGCUCAACCCAGAGAGGCCACCCGAUACUGCUGUGACUUGAGUACGGUAGGGGAGUGGGGAAUUCCUGGUGUAGCGGUGAAAUGCGCAGAUAUCAGGAGGAACACCAGUGGCGAAGGCGCCGACUCUGGGCCGUAACUGACGCUGAGGGAGCGAAAGCGUGGGUAGCAAACAGGGAUUAGAUACC
rnacentral:rRNA from 1 species